CUAUUAAGAGAUACGUUGCCCAGGCAGCGGAUGAACUGUCCUUUGAGGUGGGAGACAUCAUCUGUGUCAUCGACAUGCCACCAAAGGAGCUGACCCCCUGGUGGAGAGGCAAGCUCGGCUUCCAGGUUGGAUUUUUCCCAGGGGAGUGUGUGGAACUGAUUAAUAAGAACAUUCCUGAGGCACUCAUCAACUCUGUGCCAAAGCCAGGUAUGGAUGUUACAUUUGAU